rnacentral:rRNA from 1 species
GAAAGUAAGCAAGGGCAGACGGUGGAUGCCUUGGCUCUCGGAGGCGAUGAAGGACGUGAUAAGCUGCGAUAAGCUUGGGGUAGGUGCAAAUAACCUUUGAUCCCAAGAUUUCCGAAUGGGGCAACCCGGCUGGUAGAAGGCCAGUCAUUCCGUAAGGAAGGCGAACGUGGGGAACUGAAACAUCUAAGUACCCAUAGGAGAAGAAAACAAAAGUGAUUCCGCAAGUAGUGGCGAGCGAACGCGGAACAGCCCAAACCGAUGAUGUUUAGGCAUUGUCGGGGUAGUAGGACCACGUUGUGGCAAGAGAUUAAGGAAGUAGAACGUUUUGGAACAAACGGCCGUAGACGGUGAAAGCCCGGUAUACGACUCUUUAACGAAGCCUAGUGGUAUCCUGAGUAGCGCGGAGCACGAGAAAUUCUGUGUGAAUCAGCGGGGCCCAUCCCGUAAGGCUAAAUACUCCCGAGAGACCGAUAGCGAACCAGUACUGUGAAGGAAAGGUGAAAAGCACCUCGAACAGAGGAGUGAAAUAGUCCCUGAAACCGUCUGCCUACAAGCGGUCGGAGCAACGUAAGUUGUGACGGCGUGCCUUUUGCAUAAUGAACCUACGAGUUACUUUCUCCGGCAAGGUUAAGGGCUUCAGGCCCGGAGCCGAAGCGAAAGCGAGUCUUAAUAGGGCGUGAUAGUCGGAGUGAGUAGACGCGAAACCAAGUGAUCUACCCUUGGUCAGGAUGAAGGUUGGGUAACACCAACUGGAGGUCCGAAUGGGUAUACGUUGAAAAGUGUUCCAAUGAACUGAGGGUAGGGGUGAAAGGCUAAUCAAACUUGGAGAUAGCUCGUACUCCCCGAAAUGCAUUUAGGUGCAGCCUUGCGGGUUACUGAUGUGAGGUAGAGCGACUGAUAAGAUGCGAGGGCUUCACCGCCUAUCAAGUCUUGACAAACUCCGAAUGCGCAUCAGUUCUACCGCAGGAGUGAGGGCAUGGGUGCUAAGGUCCGUGCCCGAGAGGAGAAGAAUCCGGACCACCUGCUAAGGUCCCGAAAUAACAGCUAAGUUAAACUAACGAAGUCAGAUUGCUAAGACAGCUAGGAUGUUGGCUUGGAAGCAGCCAUUCAUUUAAAGAGUGCGUAACAGCUCACUAGUCGAGGAGUCCGGCGUGGAUAAUACUCGGGCAUAAACUGUUUACCGAAGCUAUGGAUGUAGAAAUACAUGGUAGGGGAGCAUUCCAACGGCGUUGAAGGUGAAGGAUGACCUUUGCUGGAGCUUUUGGAAACGCAAAUGUAGGUAUAAGUAACGAUAAAGGAGGUGAGAAACCUCCUCGCCGAAAGACUAAGGUUUCCUGAUCAACGUUAAUCGGAUCAGGGUAAGUCGGGACCUAAGGUUAAGCCGAACGGCGAUACCGAUGGAAGAAUGGUUUAAUAUUCCCAUACUACUUUAUGGAGCGAUGUGGAGACGGAGAAGUGAAAGUCCUGCCAUCUGACGGAAUAGGUGGUUGAAGAGUGUAGAUGUAGAUUCCUGUAGGCAAAUCCGCAGGGAGAGUCGACCUUGAUAGUAUGCCGCGUGCUUGCACAAGGCAAAAUGGACGUAAUCAGGCUCCCAAGAAAAUCCGCUAAGCAUAUUCAUAAAGUACCCGUACCGUAAACGGACACACGUAGUUGGGUUGAAAAUACUGAGGCGCUCGAGUGAUUCACGGUUAAGGAACUAGGCAAAUUGACCCUGUAACUUCGGGAUAAAGGGUCCCUCCCUCCGGGGAGGGCGCAGAGAAUAGGUCCAGGCAACUGUUUAACAAAAACACAGGGCUGUGCGAAAUUGAAAGAUGAAGUAUACAGCCUGACACCUGCCCGGUGCUGGAAGGUUAAGAGGAGAUGUCAUCGCAAGAGAAGCAUUGAAUUGAAGCCCCAGUAAACGGCGGCCGUAACUAUAACGGUCCUAAGGUAGCGAAAUUCCUUGUCGGGUAAGUUCCGACCUGCACGAAUGGUGUAA